CUUCACAUUCAGAAACUCUAAGGCGGUUGUUUGCAGAGAGAUCUCCCGGUAAUUAGUUUUAUAGGCUGAGCUGAACUUCCUGUUUGCUUUGAUGGGUCAUCUCCUGCUAUAAGACCCAUGGACAUCUGGAGUAACUGACUUGCUGAAUCUCUGCGUGCAGAAGAGAGAUCCCAGCUCGCUGUAAACCCUGCUUACCCUAGGACCCCGUGCUCUCUCGGCAUGUCUCGAGGGCAGGUGGAGAAGACUGUGUCUGCUCUACUCCUCCACCUGCCCUCGUGUUACAGGAAGAAGGGGGAGGGCCAUGUGUUGGCCAUAGCUUUUCAACCACGUGCCUAUGUGCAGUGCAAGCAGUAGCUAAAGAACACUCAUAAGUUACCAGUGCUCUACACUCUUAUUUUCUCCUGGAGAUUCCUCUUACUGUGCCCUGCUUUUGGAAGAAGCUCUUUUGUUUUUCAUUUAGCCAGAAGGACUUGCUGUCUUUAGCAAUCUCUCGCUACAGUAGAGCCCCAUUUGGGAUGAACGUGAAGCAGAGUGCUAGGAGCUCUUGAGAACGGACUCACCCAGACACCCACGUUGUACCAAUGGCGAGCGGUCUGAACAGCCAUCUGUCCCACCUGGCAUGUUGACCAGUUCCUGAGUAGAAAGUAUGGAAGAACCUGGCCGGUGCUUCCAGGAGCAAGAAUAUUUUCACAUCAGGGUAGCAGAAUCGGAGACAGAGACUCCUUCCCCUUUCCACGGGAGGAUGGAAAGGCAUCAGGAGAACGGGGCUGGGCGUGACCCACCGCAGCAUCGCUGUGGGCUUUGUCUCCACGGAGCCAAUUCAGAGGCGCAUGGUGGAGCAUCAGAAGCCAACACAGCACAGCAUCUCUGCUGGGCUUUGUGCCUCCCUCCGCUGAUUGUCACCACAAAGCCGGAGGCACCACACAGGGAAUGGCUGACUCUUCAAGGCAAGAAGAGUUUUGUGUCUCUCUACGGUGAGAGGAUGAAAACCUCGAGACCAGGUAAGUGAAAAUCACCACUUGCAAGAUCACUCCCCACCUUUGCGAUACAUGAGCAUGAUGUAUCUGUACACCACACAGAUAUGUGUUACAGGUGAGUAUCCAUCACUAUUUACCAUAUUCGAAAUUACAACUAAGGCUUUCUAAAACCAUUCUUCAUUUAUUUAGUUUUAAAUCACAAAAAUAAAUGUGGUAUCUGUGUUUUUAAUGGAAUAAUU
rnacentral:lncRNA from 1 species